AUGGCCGACGCGGGUCAAAGUGAACUAUCUGUUCUUAUGAGCUUAAUAUUUUAUACUGGUUGUAUUUGAACCCAAGAUAUUGAAGUUAUUUUUGCAAGCUGGCGGAGUGCUUGGAGCCUGCUUCACCUCCACCUGCGGGUCGGACCGGUAUUGCACUACCUUCGGGAUUUUUUGUCUACGGACA